rnacentral:rRNA from 1 species
CCCUUAGAUGUUCUGGGCCGCACGCGCGCUACACUGAUGCAUUCAACGAGUUUCUUCCUGGUCCGAGAGGAAUGGGUAACCUUUUGAAAGUGCAUCGUGAUAGGGAUAGACUAUUGCAAUUAUUGGUCUUCAACGAGGAAUUCCUAGUAGACGUAGUUCAUCAGACUGCAUCGAUUACGUCCCUGCCCUUUGUACACACCGCCCGUCGCUCCUACCGAUUGAAUGCUCAGGUGAGCCAUUCGGACUUUCAUCAUGCUGGUUUCCAGUUUUGAUGAAGGAAAGUCUUGCGAACCUUAUCAUUUAGAGGAAGGCGAAGUCGUAACA